UCGAACUUCGACCUCAUGGGACGACCCAUUCGAAUUUCCCGGUGGGGAGAUAUUGGCUCAUGGCCCAGCGGUACAGGUUGUUGGCGUCGAGAUAGAGGAUGUGGUUGGUCGGUUU